rnacentral:rRNA from 1 species
UGCGAGUGAAGCGGCAAAAGCUCAAAUUUGAAAUCUGGGGCCUCGCGGCCUCCGAAUUGUAAUUUCGCGAUACGUUUUCGACCGAAGGCUCCGCCUUAAGUUCCUUGGAACAGGACGUCACAGAGGGUGAGAAUCCCGUGAUAGGUGGGGCCCGAUGCAUAUGAUACGUAUUCAACGAGUCGAGUUGUUUGGGAAUGCAGCUCAAAAUGGGUGGUAAAUUUCAUCUAAAGCUAAAUAUUGGCGAGAGACCGAUAGCGCACAAGUAGAGUGAUCGAAAGAUGAAAAGCACUUUGAAAAGAGAGUUAAAAAGUACGUGAAAUUGUUGAAAGGGAAGCGCUUGAGACCAGACUCGAUCUGUGGUGAUCAACCGGGCUUCUGUCCGGUGCACGCGCCACUCUUCGGGCCAGCAUCGGUUCCGACGGUGGGAUAAAGUCUUGGGGAAUGUAGCUAUCUCGGUAGUGUUAUAGCCCCUUGAGCAAUGCCACCAGCCAGGACCGAGGACCGCGCUUCGGCUAGGAUGCUGGCAUAAUGGUCUUCAGCGACCCGUCUUGAAACACGGACCAAGGAGUCUAACAUCUAUGCGAGUGUUCGGGUGGAAAACCCUUGCGCGUAAUGAAAGUGAACGGAGGUGGGAACCGCGAGGUGCACCAUCGACCGAUCCUGAUGUCUUC